UUCGUCUUCCUCAUUCCUCCAUCACCCACCCUCUGACGGAGUAAUUAUGGAAAAUAUUGCCGAUUUCACUUCUCCCAAGAGGAAAAGGGGAGUGAAUUGGAAAGACUGCCACACUCUGCACAUAGUAGAGCAAGUUGGGUUAAGGAAGACCAUACUGAGGGGCAAAUUCAGCCCUACUUUAACAUACAACGACAAGCGGGCAGCGUGGGAGGAGGUGACAGACAGCCUCAAUUCUACGUUUGGGCUCAGCCGCAGCCACGCAGAAGUCGAGAAGAAGUGGCAGAAUACCAAGACCACUUCCAUUCAACGGCUUUCUGCUAUGAGGGAAGCCCAAAGAAAGACAGGUGGUGGCUCAGUGGUGGAUACCUCGCUGUGUGACAUCACAGAGGCAGUCCUCCGAGUCAUCGGGGAGGACAGCAGUACAGCGAGGGGUAUAUCCAAAGGGAUAUCCCAAAAUGACACAGCCCUCAUGGAAGCAGACUUGGAUGAUGAUGCCUCCAGCACCAGCAAGGUGGGUCGUCUUGAGCCACCUCCAACUGGAAUGGAACCCAGCCCGGCCAGUGGGGAUGUAAUGACGAGGGUAACUCGGCUCGUCCUGAAACCAUCUGCACCUCCUGUGCUCAAUAGCGCUCUGAAUUCUGAUAACCACAUAGUGGCUAUAGCCUACGAGGAGGCAGUGGCAGCAUACAAGCGAAUGAGCGCUGCAUACGUUCAAUCAUUAGAAAACCAAAGUAAGAGGUAUAGGAAAAAUAGCAUCAUUGAGAGUAUAUUUAUAUAUAUUUAUUCUUACUUUUCCCCCACAGCUUAUCCUAUGUUUAUAGUGAAGUGGUGAUCAUAGUAAAUACUAAACACAUUUCAAUUCGGAAUAACAAAAUUAUAACAUACACCACAAAAUUGCAGUAAACGUGGAAAUAUUAAUUUACUCAUAAUGCAAUGCUUCGUAUUAAGUCAUGCUUGGUACCUGCACCCCAUUUUACAGCUUGAUUAAUCUCUGCACCACAUAUAUGUGCUUCUUGCUGUGUCCUGCUUAAUCAUUUUACAAAGGCGUCAUAUGGACUGAAGUUUAGUUUUCUUGCCAGACAGUGGUCCAUGGCAGCCUAAUAAAUAAAUACAAUUGUGAAUUUGGUUAUUUUUUCAUCCUCCUAGAAAAAAAAAAACUUUAGCGUGUGUGAAGGAAAGUGACCUGGCGUAGUUAGGUGGAGGUGACGCUAGAUCAAACCCCUCUUUAGGCAGCAACCCCAUAUGGCGGUGACAGCUGAAUGGGAAGCCGGGUAAAGGUGUUGGCGUUCGGCUGAGUCCUCCACGCUGGUCCUCCACAUCGCGUUACUUCGAGCCCUUGGGGAGAUGGAGCAGGGUUUGAAGCGUGUUCCCUUGACCCUUAGAGAGGUGGAGCAGGGGUCGAAGUACCACUUACUGAGGUGAAGCAGGGAUAAAUAAGUAGUCUUCCCUCUCAGCGUGACCUGGUUGGUAAUGUUAAU